GCCUCGGUAGCUCAAUUGGAUAGAGUAGGUGGGUUCUAACCAUCAGGUUGCAGGUUCGAGUCCUGCCCGGGGCG
rnacentral:tRNA from 1 species